CAGUCUGCAUGGAGCCGGCCUUGAAAUACCACCCUUUAAUGUUUGAUGUUCUAACGUGGACCCGUGAUCCGGGUUGCGGACAGUGUCUGGUGGGUAGUUUGACUGGGGCGGUCUCCUCCUAAAGAGUAACGGAGGAGCACGAAGGUUGGCUAAUCCUGGUCGGACAUCAGGAGGUUAGUGCAAUGGCAUAAGCCAGCUUGACUGCGAGCGUGACGGCGCGAGCAGGUGCGAAAGCAGGUCAUAGUGAUCCGGUGGUUCUGAAUGGAAGGGCCAUCGCUCAACGGAUAAAAGGUACUCCGGGGAUAACAGGCUGAUACCGCCCAAGAGUUCAUAUCGACGGCGGUGUUUGGCACCUCGAUGUCGGCUCAUCACAUCCUGGGGCUGAAGUAGGUCCCAAGGGUAUGGCUGUUCGCCAUUUAAAGUGGUACGCGAGCUGGGUUUAGAACGUCGUGAGACAGUUC
rnacentral:rRNA from 1 species